rnacentral:tRNA from 1 species
GGAGAAGUACUCAAGAGGCCGAAGAGGCGCCCCUGCUAAGGGCGUAGGCUGGGAAACUGGCGCGAGGGUUCAAAUCCCUCCUUCUCCGCCA